ACUGGGAUGGAGAGCCUAGCGGGUGUCCCACCUCUGAUUGUGUAAGCGACUUUAUCUUCUGGGGUGACCUCCUACCCUUUGCAUUUUGUCUCUUGGGAUAAUGAAAAACGGACCGAAACUCGAUGCCAAAGUAGAUUGUUCACGCUGAUUGGCAGGGAAAGUGCAAACAAAGAGGUGCAUCUUCUGGAAACAAUGAUUUUUGGCGAUUUCACCCAGUCGACUUGUGCGCGUUAGGGAGAGGGGCGGUAAAAGGGUAGGUGGGUGGGGAGGGGACCAGGACAGGCAUCUCCUAGGGAAACUUUCCAGCGUGGUAGUGGGAGGACAGGGUCGGGCAGAGUUGCGCGUAGCCGGGGACUGAGCAGCCCCAGCUCGCCUCCGAGGUUCCCAAGCCGGGCGGGAGAUUCGGGGAGAGGGAGGGGGCGGGGAGGGGAAGGGAGGGAGAGAGGAAGAAGGGGUGAGAGGGAGAAACCUGCCGCGGCUCGCCGCCUCUUUGUCUGCUCUGGGACUUGGAACAAAAGGGGGAACUCUGAUGAACUCUCUCGCCUCCCCUCUCACCCAGACGCCGGGUAUAUCCCUCUCGCAACUUUGCCGCCUCGACUUUCUCCGCUGUCAGGCCACAAAAAAAGUGUCUCAGCGCCUUGCGGACUUCAACAAGGGAAAUGUCUCUUAAGAGUGCGAAGAAGUGGAGAAGAAGGUUUAACUGUUGUUAUCAGCAUCUAGAAAGCACCAUUCAGUUGCUGGAGAACUUUCUAACACUGACUUUCUCCAUACUGGAUCUAUGAGUGGACAAUAUGGAACUGCCGUUAUAACCUCAAAUCAUUCCUGGGUGAAAAGUUAUCAAACUUCUUCAUUUGGAGUUACUUGAAAGUUAAACGUUGUUGUUGUGUUAUUUGAUGAUGCCUUCACCAUGGGGAUUACUACAUUUUGAUCACUGGGAAUACUCCACCUUAAAGAAGGAAUUGGCAACAAUCUCAUUUCACUGGUGGGUUUGCUGAAGCAUUGUGGCAAGACAGCCAGAAUGAUUGAUGACUACUCUUCAGGUGUGAAUCAUGGCGAUGCGGUGAGAGACAGUGAUUUACUGCUUUGGAGGACAUGCAUGUGUAUGAUUAAAGGAUAUAAGUGCAGGGCUCCAAGAUUUACUUCCUUCCUGUUCCAGCAGGGACACCUGAAGGGAGUGAGUAAUGGGGUAAUUUAUAACACCACAGGCCCUUCGCAAGAGACCACGAGUGAAAACAGAGAGAUAAAACUCAGAAGGUUUCUACCAAAAGACUACAAUUUUUGACACUCUCUGGACAUUCCUCUCAAUUGCAAGUAGUAGAGACUUCAGAAUUUCCUGGUUGUCUUUUUUCAGGGAGAUUCCCAUUGAAAAGGUUAGUGUGUCAAUACGGAUUAAAUCAUGUAGAUAUUUUGUAAAUGUUAUACAUCUUUCCUGUAUGUUUUUUCUUCUCCUUGAUAUUCUUAUGUUGUUGGGACAUCAAAGAAACUUAGUAGUCUAGUUAUAGACCUCAGGGUGUUUUUUAAAAGGUCAAGGAAUACCAAGUGUUAGAAGCAUAAUGACAAAUUCAGCAACAUGUUUUUUUUUUUUUUGGAGGGGUGAGGGGUGUUGGGCAGAGCUUACCAAAUACUGUUGCUAUCGUGUGUGGUCAGGUUGAUUGUGACUCAUAGAGACCCUAUGUGACAGAGUAGAACUACCCCAUAAGGUUUCUUAGGUUGUCAUCUUUAUAGGAGUAGAUUGCCAGGUCUUUUCUCCCACAGAGCAGCUGGUGGAUUUGAACUGCUGACCUUCCACUCUGAAGUGGAGCGCUUAACUGUUGCACCACCAGGGUUCCUUUGCCAAGUACUAGUGGCCUAUAUGUCUUAGAAUCUUCUCUUUUAAUUUAUAGGUACUUCACUCCAGUUUUGAGUUGAUGAGAUGAGAGAUGGGGUGAAUAAAGAGUUUCUUUCCCAGUUGUGUGUGUGUUUAGGGCAGGGAGGUUUAGCUGGCCUUGGAAAGCUAAUCCAGGAAUUUUUUUUGUAAUGCAAGCAAAUAUAUGAGGAAUUGAGCAGGAAACCUGGUACUGUUCAAAUGGUUUGUUUCAUCACCAGCAGCUCCUCAUGCCAGAGUCCUGGCACGGCUGCUAACAGAGAGGUCAGAGGUUCCAACCCACCAGCUGCUCUGAGGCAGAAAGAUGUGGUAGUCUGCCCCUGUAAAGAUUUAAAAAAAAAAAAAAAAAAAAGAUUACAGCCUAGGAAAUCCUAUGCGGGCAAUUCUAGUCUUUCCUAUAGGGUCACUGAGUCAGAAUCACUCAAUGGCACACAACAGCUCUUUGUGAGGGCUUCAGUGCAUUGUGUGUUUUCGUGCCUUUUAAAAAUGCAAGAUAUAGAGCUUCAAAAAAAAAAAAAUGUUCUAAAAUUACGGUAUAUCAUCACUUUGGGAUUGGUUAUUGUCCAGAGGCUUACGGCAAUACCUAAUUUGAUAGGUUCUUCUGACUUGUAAUUGUUAGUAACAUUAGAUUCAUGAAAACUGAGUACCACAAUGUCCACAUGUGAUAUUUUUAUCUCAAAAAUACUAACUUCACCUACACUUUGGAAUGUCUUAGUGGUUGGCAGUAGACCUGUUCUAUUAAAGAUUGUUUAGAUAACAUUGGAAUGGCUCCAAGCUCUUCCUUCUCUCCCGUAUGCUGUAGGUGACUAAAACAUUCCCAUAAAUAACUGGCCACCUUUUGAACUGACCUUUCAGUUCAUAUGAUGUAAAUAUUGAUGGCCUUGACAUUUCUUGGUAUGUGCACAGUUCAAGAGGCAUAAUAUCUCCAUAUAACUAAAAGCAGGUGGAAGAAUGGGUAGACAGCCAUGGGCUCUCUGAUAACCAUAAUUCAGAAGCACCCUUGCCAAAGUCUUGUUUUUAGACUUUGUGCAGGGAGAAUGUCUCAUAAGCAAAGUAGUCUGCAAGUUUAGGUCCUCUUGGCAUUUCUGUAGCCAAAUAUUCCUGGAUCAAACAAUGUUAAUGUGUGUCCUUAUAAUAAAAUGCUUUCUAGAAUAAAUACAUAGUCGCUCGAUCAUUCCUCAUUAUUCGUAGAUUCCAUAUUUGCAAAGUCUCGUAUUUGCUAAAAACGUUCGAGGCCUUUUUUUGGUCGUUCACAGGCAUGCACAUGUGCAGAGCAGCAAAAAAUUUAGCGGAAGUCAAACAAGGACAGUUCCGGUUUUGAUAAUUUAGGGUUCCCUGGGAGUUUACAUAGGGUCGCUAUGAGUCCGAAUCGACUGGAGGGCAGUGCGUUUGUUUUGUUUUGUUUUUGUGACUUUACAGCUACCGCGAAUAUUUAAGUGAGUUUCCUCCCCCGCUUUGGAAAUUAAGAACUUCAGUUCUCCUAGCAGGGUGAUAAGGUAUAGUAGCUAAGUGCUUGCGUUCAGGAGCAGACCUCCCAGGCUCAAAUCUUUAUUGUACCAUUUACUAGAAAUGUUACUUCAGGCAAAGUAUUCAAACUCUUUCAGCCUCAUUUUCCUGUUAUUAAAUGGGGAUGAUAAUAAUAAUGCUUGGAGUCCCUGGGUGGUCUAAGCUCUUAACAUGGUUGGCUGCUAACCAAAAGGUUGGCGGUUAGAGUACACCCAGAGGUGACUUGGAAGAGAGGUCUGGUGAUCAUUUAAGAAAAACUAGCCAUUGGAAAGCCUGUGGAGCAUAGUUCUACUCUGAUACACGUAUGGCCACUGAGUUGGAAUGGAUUCCACGGCAACUGGUGUUGGUAAUAAUAUUUACCUUUUAAUUUUUUUUUCCAGAAUGAAAUAGGGCUAUCCAAUUAACACUUUAGUGAAGAUUUAUUUAAGAGUUAGCUGUUAUUACCAAGCUUUCAGGUAUCCUGUGACCACAGGAUGAAGCUGAUAAGAUGAAGAGCUUAAAAAAAAAAAAGUAUACCUGGGGCCUCACACUCCUAGAGCAUAUAUAGUCAGUUAUGUGGAAAUCAUAUAUGGAAAAAAAAAAUGAGGAUAUAGUUCUGAUUUUACAAAAUAGUUUAACAAGUUUUGUUUGACUAUUGGUUUUAAAGUAAUCUUUCUGGUUUUAUGUAACGUGUGUAUUAGAAAUGGGAACAUUAGAACACUUUGUUGAAUUGUCAAGCAUUAUUGGUGGCCCUAAUUUAUACACCCAUUGUGCUGUAGUUUUAGGUGCAGAACUCUCCCCUGUGGGGAUUAUUAUAGCACAGGUGGGCUUGAAAUUACUAUGCUUUACUUUGGGUACUUUUUUCACUAAGAAGUAUGGACGCCAUGAGAUGAUACUUACCCAUCUGUCUAUCCAAGCAUUUGUAUGUAUAUUACCUGAGCGCUUAGGUGCACCAUGGAGAGAGGGGAUUUAAAAUGGAGAAGAGGAAAAAAUUGAAAAUAAAAUAACAUGAUGGAAAUAACAGAAACCUCUUUGCAAAGAAAACCUAACUGUUGUUAAUAGCAGAUUUAAUAGCCAGUAGCAAAACCAUACACUAUUGUCUUUAAGAAACAGAGCCGAAGCCACAACGUUGAAAACUGAAGUGCAAAUCUGGAAAUCUGCCAGCAAAGUCAAGCAGUGCAGGCUUCUAAUACUCAAAUUCAGGGGGAAAAGAAAAUCCUUUUGAUGAAGUAACUUCUUAUAUUGAUUGUAAGCUGUCAGUGUUUGAUGGGUAGAUCUUAAAACAUUAACUGAUUAAAUUGCUCAGUGCUAGGCAGUCAUAGUUGUGGCCUCCCCUCUUCUGAGCUUCCAGAUUUGUGUCUUGACAUGUGAGGCAUUCCCUAAAUGAGGGGACCGAGCAGAGUGGAACAUUUUGGCAUUUACUUGAUCCUUAAGAGCACCAAUAGAAAGAAAGACGUCGAAUUCAGUGGAAAUACUACUUAUUGGUUGCUUAUGCGUCAUAUCACCUAUUAAAUUGUCCUACCUCUUAGAAACACUCCAUCUACCCAAUUCUUCUUUGCUAGUCAAAGGAGAUGCAAAAAUACUCUGCACCCCUGGAGGAGAUGUACAUUAUUGGAGAGGCACCCAUCAGCCUUUUUUAUACCAUUUGGCUCCUCUCCAGCUAUUCUGUGUUAUGCUUAUGGGCUCUUACAGUUUUCAUUUCUGCUUGGGGCAUGAAAGAAGUGUUUUUCUUCCAUAUUCAGUUGUCUUAAACUUAUUUGUAGUCUUCCCCUACCCCCAAGCACAUGUGCUGCCUUAGGUCUCUUUCACUCCUGUGCUUGAGUAAGGUCUGGCCUCCCAUGAUUCCUUGUUUCUGUUUGUUGUUGUUAGGUGCUGUUGAGUCAGUUCUGACCCAUAGUGUCCCCAUGUACAACAGAAUAAAACACUACCCAGUCCUGUGCCAUCCUCACAAUUGUUGGCUAUGUUUGAGCCCAUUGUUACAGCCGUUGUGUCAAUCCAUCUCACUGAGGGUCUUUCUCUUUUUUGCUGGCCUCCUACUUUACCAAGCGUGAUUUCAUUCUCCAAGGACUUAUCCUUCUGAUAACAUGUCCAAAGUAUGUGAGAUGAAGUCUCGCCAUCCUUGCUUCUAAGGAGCAUUCUGGCUGUACUUCCUCCAAGACAGAUUCGUUUGUUCUUCUGGCAGUCCGGGGUAUAUUCAAUAUUCUUCACCAACACCACAGUUCAAAUGCAUCAAUUCUUCUUCUUUCUUUUACAUUGUCCACCUUUCACAUGCAUAUGAGGUGAUUGAAAAUACCACGGUGUGUUUCAGGGGAAAUGAUUAAGAAAGGAAGGAAGGAAAAAAAAAAAUGGCAUGGUUUCUCUGCGCUCUUGAAAACCUGUGGGCUGAUAACAUUGUGGCUUCCCUGGGUGCUGCAAACAGCAAGCGCCACUGCUAACUGAAAGGUUGGAGGUUGGAGUCUACCCAGAGGUGCCUCAGAAGAAAGGCCUGGCAACCUACUUUGAAAAAUCAGCCAUUGAAAAUCCUGUAGAGCACUGUCCUAGUCUGAUACGCAUGGGGUCCCCAUGAGUCAGGGUCGACUCUAUGGCAACGGAUUUUUUUCUCAGUAAUAUUUUCUUGUGUUUUUGGUGAAAGUUUACACAGCAAGUUAGGUUCCUGCUUGACAAUUUCCACAAAAAAUUGACCAAUAACAUUAGUUACAUUUUUUACAUUGUAUCAACAUUCUCUUUAAUUGUCUUCUGGUUAUUCCAUUUCCAGUA